CCUACGGGUGGCAGCAGUGAGGAAUAUUGGUCAAUGGGCGGGAGCCUGAACCAGCCAAGCCGCGUGAGGGAAGAAGGUACAGCGUAUCGUAAACCUCUUUUGUCAGGGAACAAAGGCGGGGACUAGUCCCCGGAUGCGGGUACCUGAAGAAAAAGCAUCGGCUAACCCCGGGCCAGCAGCCGCGGUAAUACGGGGGAGGCGAUCGUUAUCCGGAUUUAUUGGGGUUAAGGGGUGCGCAGGGGGCCUGUUAAGUCAGGGGUAAAAGCCCGGGGCUAAACCCCGGCGAGCCGUUGAAACUGGCGGGCUCGAGUUGGAGAGAGGUACGCGGAAUGCGCGGUGUAGCGGUGAAAUGCUUAGAUAUCGCGCAGAACCCCGAUUGCGAAGGCAGCGUACCGGCUCCACACUGACGCUGAGGCACGAAAGCGUGGGUAUCGAACAGGAUUAGAUACCCUUGUAGUC
rnacentral:rRNA from 1 species